rnacentral:rRNA from 1 species
AACAGCUGCCAUAUCACCCUGCAACUCACCACUGAAGCUCAGCAGGUGGGAGCCUGGUCAGUACCUGGAUGGGAGACCUCCUGGGAAAAACUAAGGUUGCUGCUGGAA